UCUCAUCCUCUAUCAUCCCCUUCCCCUCCUGCCCUGUCUUUCCCAGCAUCAGAGUCUUUUCUGAUGAAUCAGUCAUGUGCUCAGCAUAGGACUGACUGGCAUAAACUGUGCCAUCAAUGAAUGUUGAACAAAUUAAUAACUUGGUAUCAUGUUUCCUUUUUAGCUAUCAGUCUAUCAUUAUGAGCAGUUUUGCUGACACUAGUCCAUGCUGCAGUCUGUGGUCACAGCACCCGAGUUCCUACUGUGUGCUGGGCGUUGCACUGGGGAUGUAGUAAAGGCAUUAAAAGUGACAGAGCAUGGUCCCUGUUCUCAGAGUUGUUUGGGUGACUGUGGAACGCAUCUGUUGUAUGACAUGGCGGGUUUCUAUCCUGUACAAAAUGAAUGGUUUUAUUGGGUAAUAAUGAAAAUGAUACCAUUUCUACUAACUACUGAAUGUUAUUAACAUCCAUGACUGGUAAAAUUUAGUUUUCAAAUUUGAUUCUAAAAUAUGUCUUAGGUGUUCAGUAUGAUACUUUUAGUAGAAUACUAGCUUUUAUCACAGUAUCUUUUCUUUUUUUUUUUUAACUUUCAUAGCUGCGUUGAAUUGUCCUGAACCUAUUUUAAAGUCUGGUAGGUUGUAGGGGAAAGAGAAACACCCAUUUUUAAUGUUAGGUUCUUUUUAGCUCUAUUUUAAAACUGAAGCACAGCAAACUUACUAGUCUAUUGCAAGUUUUACCAGUCCCAUCAACAGUCUUGUUAAGAAAGUACAUCUUGUAUUAUGUUUAAGCUAUGCAUUAUUUGAGAUUUUUGAGCGUAAAUUUGAAGUGUUUGUUUAUUGUUGGGCCAUAAAGCACUGGUCCCAAACCUAUUUGGCACCAGGGACCAGUUUCAUGGAAGACAGUUUUUCCACGAUCGGGGUUGGUGGUGGUGGUGGGGUUGUUUCAGGAUGAUUCAAGUGCAUAACAUUGACUGUGCACUUUAUUGUUAUUACAUCAGCUCCACCUCGGAUCAUCAGGUGUUAGACCCCAGAGGUUGGGGACCCCUGCUAUACAGAAUCAGGAGGGUGCAUGAUAUCCCAAGGUGCUUUUUAUCUUUUGAAGAAAGUAUCAUAAAGGAAUGUGAUAAAAUUCCUAGCUGAACAUUUGCAGAAUUUUUAAAUUUCCAUCUAAGAAUCCUCACAGGACAGGGGUUAACUUUUUCCACUGUAGGGAACGGUCUCAGGUCACUGCGCGUUAACUGGAGCUUUAUAUUGAGGAUCCGUUUUCAUGAGACAGACUAAUCACUUAAGUGUAGCUUUUUGCUGCACCUGUUUCUUGCCACUCCUGCUUCUCUUCCAGCCUCUUCUCUACCUUGGAGUGUCUGCUUGGAAAGGCGGUAAACAUUUUUAAAGCAUUGUCUUUAUGGCUAGGUAGACUAGGUUUAGUCUUCUGUCACCUCAUCCUUUGAGUGUCUUUCUAACCUGUAAAAUGUGUGUCUCUUAAAAAAUGUACUGGUGCAUAGUUCAGGCUGAGUCAUUUUCCUUUUUCAUUUCCUUAUUGUGUUUUGUAUAAACUGCUUGUGGGUAUAGCUGUUCCUUGUGACCUGCUUACUUGAGCUCUGAGUACCGAAUGCACCCCUUUCUCUCCAGGUUUCCUGUUCAAAUUCCCGAGGGAUAACCUGGACCAACUCAGGAAGGCUGACCCUGGGCCACAGAACAGCCUCUGCCUCAGCAGGCGUGCUCCUUGCAGAGGGCCGCCUGCUCUCGAGUGCUCUCCACCCUCACUGUGAACGCCAGGCCACGCAGCCACGUGCCGCCGCACCUGCUUCUCACCGUCUCUCGUCUUCUGAUAGCAGGCGUGGCUGGCCAAUGAAGAGGGGUGGCUCCUCAUACCUCUGCUUUGUGGAAGGAGCUCUCUGACCUUUCAAAGAGGCUGGAGAACCUCCCAGGGAAAAGAAGUCUGAGAAGCUUCAGCCAGAGGAACAGUAAGGUGUCCAGUCCUUACAAAGCAGAUGAAGGACAGCAGUCUCAGAGGGAAACAUCUAAGAUUUCUGGAUCUUUUUUAGAUGCAGACUCACAGGAAUUCAUACAGCAAGAGGAUAGGCUGCUUCUGCAGAAGGGCCUGCGACUGGCAGACAACCAGGACCUACCCCUCCACACAGGGACCUCGUCUCCUAGGAGAAGACUGUCUGCUGGGAACCUUGUGUAAAAUACUAUUUUAAGUACGAAAGAAGCGUGCGUUUGACCAGAGGUCACAAGAUGUGGAAUCGGAAACUAAAGGUUUGAGCCUUUCCCAGCUGUUCCGGGUUCCUACCCACGCUUGGACUUCAACAUGUGUGGACCAAACUAGAAAAGAAACAAAAAAGAUACAGGUUCAUGUAACAGCAAUGAUAGCAGCCCCCUGCCAACCAUGGACUACCAGGUAUGUUCAUGAAAAACCAAGCAGCUUGAUAAUAUUAAAACUGUUACAUUAUGUUUGUAACAACCUAUGAAUUCAUAUCAGCAGUGAGAAAGAUAGCAAAAUUACUGCCUAUCAAACUGUAGUCAUCAUUGCAAGACCGUAGCUUAGUCCAGUUUUACUUCUUUUAAUAAAAGAAGGAAGAUACAGAGUUUCCCCUUCAAUGUCUAGAGUUUCAAAGAUGCUAGAAUUUCUAAGAUAUCUACCUCUCUGGGAUAGAUAAACACAUCUCCCCAGUGACAGAAACUUGAGGAAAGGGAAGAUCUAAAUUGAUACUUAAGAGCUUCCAUGAAGUCUGCUCAGUCUCCACCUCUGCAGGGUCCCCAGGUUGCAAGGCCCUGGUUAGAUCUCUUUCCCCUUCACAGGUGCCCUAAGAGAAUGACCUUUCCUUUCUACACCACCACAUUUACACUGUCCUUAGAUGUAAAUUUUAUUGUAAUGAAUUUCACUUCACUGUGCUUAAAUAUAAACAAACAGCAUGGAAAAUUUAACAUGGGAGAUACCCAGGGUUAGCGUUUACUUACAGAAGAGCAUCAGGAGGGAAGCAGUCUAGCUGGCGGCAAGGACUGAAUCCUACAGUGCAUCCUGCAGACGACCGAACCACAGGCUGCACUAGUACAGGCUGCCCA